UCCCACUAGGACUUAAUUAUUCACACAUCAUCGGAUUAUUGCCUCAAAACAGGAAAAAAAAUCGAUUUGGAAAUGUUAUUCCAUAUGACCACUCCAGAGUGAUUCUGGAGCCAGCCGUCAAUUCCACGGGUGAUUACAUUAAUGCCAGCAUUCUACAGGGAUACUCGACAGACUCUGUCCUUCUGGCGGCUCAAGG